UUGUGUUGUACAAAUUUUUCGCUCACGUCCUUCUCAUAAAAUUUAUUAAUAAUUUGAUUUUUAUAAAUAAUUUCAAGAAAAAAAAAAGUUGUGUCAAGUUUUUUAAAUCACAUUUUAUAUUUUUUAAGUUGUAGUAAAAAAUUUUCUAUUGUAUUGUAACUUUGAAAGGAUUGUUUUUUAUCUUGACUAGUAUAGGAGUAAAGUAUUCAAAAGUAUAUAUAAUAAAAGUAUGGCGAAAAGUUUUAAUUUCCGUUAGAACAUCAAACGGGAAAUGAUAAGAAUGAUUCCUGUGGUUUUUGCUUUGACUCAGAAGUGCUUUUAAAAAGACAAAACCAAAAAUAAAAGAGAUACCGAAUACAAAGUCACUAGACAGUCAGAGAUUACAGUAAAUUGAAAAUGUCAUAGAGAAAAAAACCAGGACAAAAACAAUUUCAAGACAGCUGUCAUUAAGACCUUCGAGGUCAAAAUUAGAGAUAAUAAGACCUUUCGACUUGUUGAAGGCUUCGGUGAAACAAUUAAUGCUGGAAAUGUUUGCAAGAGGUGGUGGCGCAGCUUUGCCAGCAUAUCAGCGAGAGUAGAGAGUACGUUGCCCGACGAUUUUUCAUAUUUGUAUCCUUUAUCUUUCUCAGGUAAAUGGGGACUCAAGUGGAGCGAGAGUUUCAAGCAUAAAGAGCAGGAUCAGGAUAAUGAUCAUCGCUACAUAUGUAUGAAAGAUAAGCGAAAAAGCCAAAACUUGACCACUACCCCGGUCCAUUUUUUCGAGGAGAGCAACUUCAGCGCCAUUUUUUAACUACUUGAAAAUUUUAAUUGUUUCUAAUGAUAAUAUUUUUGUAUACUUUUUAAAUGAUAUAAUAUAUGUCUACAAAGUUUGAA